rnacentral:misc_RNA from 1 species
CCAAAAGAUAAUCUUUUUUAUUUUGAAAAAGAUCUUUUCCAUUGUGCUGGCUUUGACUGUAUUGUCAUUUUAGGGCUUAAACAUGGUGUUCAAUGCCGGCCCUAAAACCAUUAUACCAACCUUAUGAAAAUUGACUGAAGCAACUAAAACAAUGAUAAUUUGUUUAAAAA